rnacentral:rRNA from 1 species
UAUACGACUCUCGGCAACGGAUAUCUCGGCUCUCGCAUCGAUGAAGAACGUAGCGAAAUGCGAUACUUGGUGUGAAUUGCAGAAUCCCGUGAACCAUCGAGUCUUUGAACGCAAGUUGCGCCCGAGGCCUUUCAGUUGAGGGCACGCCUGCCUGGGCGUCACGC